AAAGUCGUAACAAGGUUUCCGUAGGUGAACCUGCGGAAGGAUCAUUAUUGAAUAAAUUUAGGGUUGGCAGUUGCUGGCUCUUCUCUCCAUUCAUUUGGGGGGGAGCGCAAUAUGUGCACGCCUUUCUCUAUUUUUUUCAUCCACACACACCUGUGCACUUGUGAGAUGGAGGGGGCAGAUUUUAUAUUUGACCCUUCCAUCUAUUACACUACACAAACUCAUUUAUUUUAAACUGAAUGUAAUUGAUGUAACACAUCAUUUAAACUAAGUUUCAACAACGGAUCUCUUGGCUCUC
rnacentral:misc_RNA from 1 species